GAGCAUAUUUAUUUAUUGUUAAGAAAUGCACUGUAUGUUUAUGUUUUUGUUUACACAGUUCUCACGGUCUGUCAAAUCAGGAUAAACAGAUCAGUAACAAAAAGAACUCGAAGCUGUCUUUUAUAUACGAGAGGGAGUUAUAGUGAGAAUUUACUGCUUCAGAAGACAGCAGUGAGCAACAUAAACCAAGUAAGAUGUCUGAGAGUGGCAGAAAGCAUGAAA